rnacentral:rRNA from 1 species
AACGAACGCUGGCGGCGUGCCUAACACAUGCAAGUCGUGCGAGAAAGUUCCUUCGGGAGCGAGUAAAGCGGCGCACGGGUGAGUAACACGUAGGUAACCUGCCCCCCAGUCUGGAACAACUAGAGGAAACUACUAGCUAAUGCCGGAUGAGACCACGAUCCCUUCCGGGGGUUGGCGGCCAAAGAUGGCCUCUACUUGUAAGCUAUCGCUGAGGGAUGGGCCGUGCGGGCCAUUAGCUUGUUGGUGAGGUAACGGCUCACCAAGGCUGUGAUGGCUAGCUGGUCUGAGAGGAUGACCAGCCACACUGGGACUGAGGACACGGCCCAGACUCCUACGGGAGGCAGCAGUGGGGAAUAUUGCGCAAUGGGCGAAAGCCUGACGCAGCGACGCCGCGUGGGUGAUGAA